UAUGUUUUUUUCCUAAAAAUUGAACAUUUUUGGAAAAAUUAAAAAAAAACAAAACUUAUGAAAUAUUUUUUUAGAAUGAUGAAUAAAAUAUUUAAGACAAAGUUUUCAUAUAUUGCUACCUUUUACUCCCCAAAAACGUUUUCUAAUAAACUAUGUAAUAGGAAGACUUUUACAGACAACUAUCUACAGUACCAAUCAUUACAAUUCCUGUGCACCGAGGACAAGCCAUCCAGGACAACUCUCAAAUGCAAGAGCAAGAUGCAUUUCUGCCCCUGGGGCACUGCCAUUUUCACAGAAGGAAGGAGGAUUCUUUGCUUGUGGCCUUCCUCUGUUGCUGACUUUUGAUCUAGAGGUUGGUGGAUCUGCUCCUGUCCUCCUGACUAGGCAUCAAAGGACUGGGAGUGGACACUAGCAGCAGCAGCCAUUUGUUCCUGUAGAGAUUGGAAACAAGGAGCUUAUUGCCCCGCUUGCUCAAAAGCCUCAGGAGAGGAGACAGAGCAAGUCUAAAGGUUUUGGAGUUGGAAGGAGCCUGCCCCCUCCUGGCCCCAUGACCUUGAGAUCCACAGAAGUACAGAAGCAGCACAAAGGAGCUGAAAGAAAGUUUACUUCUUUAUUGAAAAAUUUCUCCAUCUUCUGCAGCACGUGAAAGAAACGGGUCUACGUUUGGAAAUCCUUGCACCAAAUCAAGAAAUAAACUAACACGUGAAAGAGUAGAGAAGUUUCUCUCAAUCUGGGGAAACCUUCAGUUUUCAGAACCGCAUGAAGACGAUAAAAAUGAAGGAUGAGAAGAAGCAGAAACUGCUGACAGUGAUAGCUCAGAGUUUAGACAAAGUUUCACGUAGCAAAAUUUGUAUUCAAUGA